UGGGGUUCAGGGUGUUCGGGGCCUCCAGGCUGCAGUCCCACCUGAAACAGAGGCGGGUCGAAGCGAGGAACAGAGCCGGGUGCGAGAGGCGGCGGCGGCGCCUCUUCCUUGCAGAGGAUGGCGUGAGAGCAACAGCUAUGGAGGAGCAGCGGCUUGUGGUACCCAAGAAAGAAGAGGGCACUGAGAGUGGGAGAAGAGACCCUCUCAUUGUCCAAGUGAGGACCCUUGGGGACGUUUUGACCCAGGACAGAACAUCCCAGCCUAAUUCUGACUCAAAGAUGUCUUCAAAGAGAAAGAACCCCAGUCCAACUGAGACAAGGAGAAAGAGGCAUAGGAAAGCCACUGAUCUCAAUUUGAAGAUGAAGAUCAUCAAAGCAUAUGAAGCCGGGAAGAAGAUGCAUAGAAUAGCGAAAGAAGAAGGUCUGGCUUGUUCCACCAUUUGCGCUACUGUGAAGGACAAGGAAAGGAUCAGAGAGGCAUUGAAAGGAGCAAUAGGAAUGAACACAAAUAUAACAAUAAUACAGAAAUGCCAAAUCCCUAAAAUGGAACCCACUCCUGAUACUUUGGAUCAAAGAUCGGGUACAAAAGAGGCUGCCGCUUAGCUUUCUCCUCAUUCAGCCUAAGGCACGCAGCAUUUUCACAACGCUGAAGGAACAAGCAAGGAAAGAAUGCACUGAAACAUUCAUUGCUAGCCAUAGCUGGUUUGUGCGAUUUCAGCAAAGAUUUCAUUAUCAGAUAUUACCGUCACGUGAAGCUUUAGGGGCUGAAAAACGAACAGCCAGACAUUUUCUGGAUGAACUUGAUGAUGUUGUAGCAGAAGGAAAUUAUUCUGCUGAUCAGAUAUUCAGAGUGGAUGAAACUGGGUUAUAUUGGAAAAGAAUGCUAGAGCAGAGAUAUAUACACAAAGAGGCUCAAGCAAUGCCUGGUUGUAAAGCAUUUAAGGAUAGAGUAACCUUGCCCUUGUGGGGAAAUGUUGCCGGAUUCAAGCUGAAGCCAUUUGUGAUCCUCAAAUCAGAUCAUGCCAGUAUGAUUCAAAAAAUAAACAAGCACACACUCCCUGUUUAUUACCGAUUUGAUUGCGAGACCUGGAUAACACACGUCCUCUUUGAGGAUUGGUUUACGAAUUGUUUCAUACCUCAGGCAUCCCAAAUUCUGGAGGAUACGAUGCUAACAUCUCCCAAAUUAGAGAAAGAAGCCUGGGACGUUCCCUGGAGAUAAAGCAAGAGAAUGAUCGGGAGGCCAUCUCACUAGAAUAUGACAUAUGACAAAUACGUGAGGAGAAGACCUUCCAGGAUGGAAGCUCUGAAGUAAUAGACAUUUGCAAGAGUUUGGAAUGAGUCAGAAGACUCAUUUUCUGUGGUCUGGGAUUAAACCAGCAGGCGCAUAAAGGCACUCAGGAAAGAAAUCCAGUGAGGCUUUUCUGCUUGAAGAUGAUGAUCAAAACUUAAAUGGAACUAAUUCUACAUUUGGGAAAAAGGACGGCAUUAAGAGGAGCCUGAGAUGGUGUGCAAUCAUCAGUGUUCCAGAUACCCCCCCCCAACUCCCAUCCUGUUAUUCAAAGAGGAACACUCGCUCAGCAAAAGAAAUAUAUAUUUCUUCAGAGUAUAGAAAGUUUUGGUUAGAACACAAACCUCACAAAAAGGAUCGAGAGGAUCAAAAAGAACGAGAGGAUCCACACAACAAGGAAACCAUAUAAAUGUUCAGACUGCAGCAAAUAUUUCAAUGUAAAAUCCACUCUGAUUAAAUAUAAGAAGUCCCAUACAGGAGGAAAGCCAUGGGAAUGCACUGAAUAUAGAAAAGCUUUUUUGGGGGGGGGAGGUGGGGAUUCUAGUCAAAUAUCAGACAGGUGAAAAGCCACAUAAAUGCUGCCAAAUACUGCAUUGGCUGAGAUGCCCUUAUCAAACACAAGAAGACCAUACAGAAGAGAAGCAAUAUGAAUGCCGAAUCUAACUUGGUGACUCACAAGCAGAUUUAUACCAGAGAAAAACACAGCAGAUGCUCAGCAUAUUAAAAAGAACCCGUGGUUCUUUUCUGUGUCAUAACACAUAAAAAUCCAUCCAGGAGAGACAUACUCGAGGGCAGGGUUGGUGUUCAGAUCUAACCUGAGACUCUUAGAUUAUUGAAAUGAAGCUAGCACUGGAGUGAAACAGCAAAUGACCAAGAAUCAAGCACAAGGCAUUGGCUUUUAAAUACACUGAUAUAUUAAAAUGUUUUAAAGAAGUGCUUGUUUUGCAUUGAAGUUCUUUGUUCAAAUUUUGGAGACGACUUCCGGUAUCCGGCGGCAACGGACAUCUGGAGGUGCCUCUCCUGCCUCCAGUGUCCGAAUCCGGCCGCCUCCGAGGCCCUUAGGGGCCAGGUGUUCCGAAAAGGACACCUGCCGCACGGACGGCUCGCCAGGGGUCUCCCAGCCGACAUACAGGACUGGGGGGACCGAUGCUGGCGCGUCCUAGGCUCGGAGGGGUUCGGAGGCCUCAGGCCGCGGCCAUUAUUUUGGUCGUCGCCUGGGCCGCUGUGCCCGGUGACACCGGGGCUUUGGAUUUAUAAUUGCAGCAGCCUGGUG